AUCAAUUUUUUUCUUGCAAGGGACUUAGAUAUUGAGCAUGUUUACAAAUGUCUAAAAAAACAAGCUUAAAGGUAUUAGUGGUUUAAUAUUACACCACAUAUUGUUUGAUUAUUUUUAAAACUAAAUUAGUACUGAAUAUAUCAGUGUAUUACAGUAGUCAAAUAUGUGUAAUAAUUGUUAGUUGUUGAAUCAAACCUAUACUUUUAAUUCUUAUGACAGGUUUUAAUUUAUCAACAAAAAUAAUAAUAGUAAUAAAAAUAUAUAUUUAUUUGCUAAAAUAAUGUAGCUCUUAAAUUGUUAAGUGGUGGUGUGUCAUUUCUAUAUUGGUAUAAUAAAUUAGAUUGAAAUUUUAAAGUUCUUUCUUAAUAGUUAGAAUCUUAUGCAAUAAAUAAGAAUAUUAUAUAAUUAUAGAUUGAUGUGCUAAAAAACCAAUCUUUUCUAUCUUUUGCUUCAUUCUUCUUAAAUCUACAAUGGUCUUAUCUCAAAUUUUAACCUUUUUAGAUGUAUUACUAUAAGAGACUCUAUCUAUAUUUUAUUAUCUUAUUGAUUACAGAAAUCUUAUAGAUUUGGAAUCUAUUUGUAAUUUAGAUUGUAUUAACAUGAAAACUUAUAAUUCGAAGUUAAGCUUGUGCUACAUAUAUUGGUUUUAUCUUCAUUGUUAUCUAUCACAACUAAUUAUUAUAUAUUAUUGAUCCAAAUAUUUUUAAUUCUUAUUUUUCUUCAUUAGAGAGCAUCUAUAAUUGAAAGAAGUAACUUGUCAUUGUUGAAAGACCUUAUGAAUAGUACGUAUGAAUGUUAUUUUGGUUUAUGUAAAAAUAAAUCUAUUAUAAUAUUUUUAUAUUUUUCCAAAAAAUUUUAUUUUCAUAAUUCAAAGAUAUAAUUUGAGUUAUAUGGUGCUUAGAUGUUUUUUUUAAUAUUUCCAAGGUUUUAUAUUUUUAGAUCCUAUAAUAGAUUUUCAUAAAAUAUUUAAAUUUAAUUGAUUUGAAAUUAUAAUCUAUUAUCAUAUAUAUAUAUAUAUACACACACUUUGAUAAUAUAAUUUUUAUUUGAAGGUUUUAUCAUUUCUUUUAAUUUAGCAUAAUAAAAAAAUAGAAAUUUAACUUAUAAAUAUUGUUGUUAUCAUUUUCUAGAAAUACAUCUAAUUUCUUGACUAAAGUUCCAUUAACUAUUCUAAAUUUAUUUAAAAGCUUUUUAAAGAUAAUUUAAGUUAGAAUUCAAGCAUGACUAUAUCUUGAAUAUAGAUCAUAUGGAUCAAAAUGUGGUAUUUAUUCUAAUAUAUUAUAGUUUCAAGUUGAGAUUUUUAAGGAUUAAAAUAAUAUAUAUAUUUUUAAUUUUUGGAAUGUUUAUUUUUGUAAAGAAGUUGUCUUUGCCAAUUUUUAAAGAUAUUUCAAUUUUUCUUGGUUAUUUAGAAAUAAAAUAUUUAGAUGUUAGAUUUGAAAAUUUCUCCUUUUAAAAUCUAAUUAUGAUUGUAAAUUAUUCUAUAUAUCUUAUUAGUUGUUUAUAAUCUCUAUGUCUAUUUUAAAGAUGUGAUUAGAAUAAAAAUAAAAAUAAAAAAACUCAAAAAUAUAGUUAAUAUUUCUAUUCUUGAUAUUGCAUUAUACAAAAAAAAAAUCUAUUCUAUCUAUUAAAGACAAGAAUUUAGACAAAACUCAAAAGUUAAUAUAUUUAUAUGUCAUUGACAAAGGAAAAAAGUUAUAAAAGAAGAUAUAGAUAUAAGAUAGAAAAAAUUGCAAAGAUUCUUAUCAAAUACAAAGAAAUUAGAAAGUCCUAAAUUAAGAUUUAAAGACAAGAAAGAUAUUUAUAAGACUAAGAAUGGCCUCAUUCUUGUCUCCAUAUAUACUAGCUACCAAAAAAGCCUUGUGAAAGCUUUCUAAGGACUAUGAGACUUAUAGCCUAAGCAUCAAGUUGUAGGUUACUUCCAAUAUUGCUUCCAAAAAGUGUGAAAUUUGUGAGACAGGUUUUAG
rnacentral:lncRNA from 1 species